rnacentral:rRNA from 1 species
GCAAAACGCGAAGAACCUUACCAGGUCUUGACAUCCCGCUGACCGCCCUAGAGAUAGAGUUUUCCCUUCGGGGACAGCGGUGACAGGUGGUGCAUGGUUGUCGUCAGCUCGUGUCGUGAGAUGUUGGGUUAAGUCCCGCAACGAGCGCAACCCUUGAUCUUAGUUGCCAGCAUUCAGUUGGGCACUCUAAGGUGACUGCCGGUGAUAAACCGGAGGAAGGUGGGGAUGACGUCAAAUCAUCAUGCCCCUUAUGACCUGGGCUACACACGUGCUACAAUGGACGGUACAGAGGGUCGCAACCCCGCGAGGGUGAGCAAAUCCCAUAAAACCGUUCUCAGUUCGGAUUGUAGGCUGCAACUCGCCUACAUGAAGCCGGAAUCGCUAGUAAUCGUGGAUCAGCAUGCCACGGUGAAUACGUUCCCGGGUCUUGUACACACCG